UGCGCAGGGGGCAGUGCCCGGCCGGAGGCUGCAAGCACCCCCGUGGGCAUCUACCUGCCCAGGCCACCCACGCUCCUCCUCCGGGGGUGGUGGGAUGGUUCAGGGCACUGCAGCAGCUCGGCGUGUCCCACGUGCCAGCCCAAGUGGAUCUCCUCUGGGACAUGGCUGGUGCCUUGUGCCAAAAUCCUUUGCCUAUCUGACUGCAUGGCUCUCAUACAAAUUGGACAGGCUCAGUUAUAGCAAAGCAGCCCUAAUCUGAGCUUCUUGCACAGCGCUGGAACAAGGACUCACGGGCGGGCAGUGGUGUCCUGCCUCCUCUCACUGAGGAUGUUCAAGUCAAGUCCCCAGGCCCCUGCAGCUACAAUGGGCCUGUGUUACAUGAAAUGCUCAUGCAUGUGCCAUCUCUGCUCGCAGGACAGAAAUCCUCUCUGAAACAUGCAGUCCAGUGCACCUUGUUGGCAGCAGUCAUUGCAGACCUUCACCUCCCACUCCCUUGGGAUUUCUGAUCUGGAAACUCUGCCAACACACAGCACGAUGAGCCCCUCAUUGCCAGCAGUGUCCUCCUACCCCAAGCACAGUGGCAGGAACCCGCAUGGACACCUGUGCAGGAGUGCUCCCGUCCAGCUUGGCCUUGCCGGUUGCUCACUGAUGCCCGUGGAAGUUUCAAAGACUGUCAACAACAGAUGCUGUUGGUAUUGCAGGCUGUGCUUCCUGGAACAGUCAGCUGGAUUUGGGAAAGCUACAGGUGAGCAGGAGAGCUGUGUGCACGCUGUGCAUCUGACGUUAAACACGGAUCAGGCUCAUCUGGGCAUUUCAAACCUACUCCAAAGAUGCGCCUUUCCUGAGAGGGAAGACCAUGAAAAUAGAAUAUUAAAAUGUAGUGGUUUGGAGCUACACAUCAUGAGGAGUCCUUUUUCAUCUUCUGGAAAAUUUACUUAUACCAGGAAAAACACUCUCACAAUAACGGCUGCCUAAGUGAAAGCACCGUGGCUGUAUCAUGCUAAAAGCUUUUCAGGGAAAACAGUAAAUAAAUUCCACUCUUCAGAUGUAUCUGGAUGUUAUUCUAACACAGUGCCAGAGUAAUAGGUGAGCCAUCAACAGCUAAAAGGCUGACAAUUGUUAUAGAGGAGCGAUACUGCCAAACAGGCUGAAAACACAUCCCGUGCACAGCUCCAGCACUUCUGGCAGACAGGGAUGGGAGAGGGGCUCCCACCCCACUGGCAUGGAAAGGCUGGACA